rnacentral:rRNA from 1 species
UGGCGACCGGCGCACGGGUGAGUAACACGUAUCCAACCUUCCGUUUACUCAGGGAUAGCCUUUCGAAAGAAAGAUUAAUACCUGAUAGUAUGGUGAGAUUGCAUGAUAGCACCAUUAAAGAUUUAUUGGUAAACGAUGGGGAUGCGUUCCAUUAGGUAGUAGGCGGGGUAACGGCCCACCUAGCCGACGAUGGAUAGGGGUUCUGAGAGGAAGGUCCCCCACAUUGGAACUGAGACACGGUCCAAACUCCUACGGGAGGCAGCAGUGAGGAAUAUUGGUCAAUGGGCGAGAGCCUGAACCAGCCAAGUAGCGUGAAGGAUGAAGGUCCUACGGAUUGUAAACUUCUUUUAUACGGGAAUAAAGUAUCCGACGUGUAGGAUUUUGUAUGUACCGUAUGAAUAAGCAUCGGCUAACUCCGUGCCAGCAGCCGCGGUAAUACGGAGGAUGCGAGCGUUUAUCCGGAUUUUAUUGGGUUUAAAGGGAGCGCAGACGGGAGAAUUAAGUCAGUUGUGAAAGUUUGCGGCUCAACCGUAAAAUUGCAGUUGAUACUGGUUUCCUUGAGUGCAGUUGAGGCAGGCGGAAUUCGUGGUGUAGCGGUGAAAUGCUUAGAUAUCACGAAGAACCCCGAUUGCGAAGGC